GAGGGUAUAGCUCAGUGGUAGAGUGUGUGCUUCAUAUGCACAAGGUCCUGGGUUCAAUCCCCAGUACCUCCA
rnacentral:tRNA from 1 species